rnacentral:rRNA from 1 species
GACGAACGCUGGCGGCGUGCCUAAUACAUGCAAGUCGAACGCUUCUUUUUUCACCGAACUUCGGUUCAUCGAAAAAGAGGAGUGGCGAACGGGUGAGUAACACGUGGGUAACCUGCCCAUCAGAAGGGGAUAACACUUGGAAACAGGUGCUAAUACCGUAUAAUGCUUUUUCUCGCAUGAGAGCAAGCUGAAAGGCGCUUUUGCGUCACUGAUGGAUGGACCCGCGGUGCAUUAGCUAGUUGGUGAGGUAACGGCUCACCAAGGCCACGAUGCAUAGCCGACCUGAGAGGGUGAUCGGCCACACUGGGACUGAGACACGGCCCAGACUCCUACGGAGGCAGCAGUAGGGAAUCUUCGGCAAUGGACGAAAGUCUGACCGAGCAACGCCGCGUGAGUGAAGAAGGUUUUCGGAUCGUAAAACUCUGUUGUUAGAGAAGAACAAGGAUGAGAGUAAAAUGUUCAUC